rnacentral:rRNA from 1 species
AGCGCAGGCGGACCGGUAAGUUGGAAGUGAAAACUAUGGGCUCAACCCAUAAAUUGCUUUCAAAACUGCUGGCCUUGAGUAGUGCAGAGGUAGGUGGAAUUCCCGGUGUAGCGGUGGAAUGCGUAGAUAUCGGGAGGAACACCAGUGGCGAAGGCGACCUACUGGGCACCAACUGACGCUGAGGCUCGAAAGCAUGGGUAGCAAACA